GGGGACAACCCGCCGAAAGGCGGGCUAAACCCGGGUACAUUCCACCGGGGCAUCCCGGAGGCAGGAAAGGGUUUGGCCGGACAGGGAUGGGCAUGCGGCGCAUUAGGCAGUAGGCGGGGUAACGGCCCACCUAACCGACGAUGCGUAGGGGUUCUGAGAGGAAGGUCCCCCACACUGGUACUGAGACACGGACCAGACUCCUACGGGAGGCAGCAGUGAGGAAUAUUGGUCAAUGGUCGGGAGACUGAACCAGCCAAGCCGCGUGAGGGAUGAAGGUACAGAGUAUCGUAAGCCUCUUUUGUCAGGGAACAAAGGCGGGGACGUGUCCCCGGAUGAGUGUACCUGAAGAAAAAGCAUCGGCUAACUCCGUGCCAGCAGCCGCGGUAAUACGGAGGAUGCGAGCGUUAUCCGGAUUUAUUGGGUUUAAAGGGUGCGCAGGCGGUCUGUUAAGUCAGCGGUCAAAGCCCGGGGCUCAACCCCGGCCCGCCGUUGAAACUGGCAGUCUCGAGUUGGGGAGAAGUAUGCGGAAUGCGCGGUGUAGCGGUGAAAUGCAUAGAUAUCGCGCAGAACUCCGAUUGCGAAGGCAGCAUGCCGGCUCCACACUGACGCUGAGGCACGAAAGCGUGGGUAUCGAACAGGAUUAGAUACCCUGGUAGUCCACGCAGUAAACGAUGAA
rnacentral:rRNA from 1 species